GCACGGGUAGCGAAGUGGCCAACCGCGCCAGACUCAAGAUCUGGUGACUUAGUGUCUUCGGAGGUUCGAAUCCUCCCCCGUGCA
rnacentral:tRNA from 1 species